CCCCGGUUUGCUCUCGCGUUCCCCGAACCCCCGAGCAAGCAGGUCUCCUUCCCCGCGGUUUGCAGGGGGGUUCGGGGAACGCGAGAGCAAACCGCGGGGAAGCAGGUCUCCUUCCCCGGUUUGCUCUCGCGUUCCCCGAACCCCCGUGCAAGCAGGUCUCCUUCCCCGGUUUGCUCUCGCGUUCCCCGAACCCCCGUGCAAGCAGGUCUCCUUCCCCGGUUUGCUCUCGCGUUCCCCGAACCCCCGUGCAAGCAGGUCUCCUUCCCCGGUUUGCUCUCGCGUUCCCCGAACCCCCGUGCAAGCAGGUCUCCUUCCCCGGUUUGCUCUCGCGUUCCCCGAACCCCCGUGCAAGCAGGUCUCCUUCCCCGGUUUGCUCUCGCGUUCCCCGAACCCCCGAGCAAGCAGGUCUCCUUCCCCGCGGUUUGC